AUCAAAUACUUUUUAAGCGCCUACCAUGUGCCUGACAAGGGAGAUGUAACGGUGAGAAAAACUAGGUGUGGUCCAGGCCCUUCAGGGGCUCAGGUGCUCGUGGAAGAAGUGGACAUUGAAGUACUUAUCACACAAAUGAGGAUAAAAGUACGAUAGCGAUAUCUACCACGAAGCUGUUGUUCCCCACCAGAACCAAAUGAGCGCAAGAUCUGACAAAGAAAAAAAAAGGUUCAUCUUUUAUUCCUCCAAACACUUUCAUUUAAAUCAAGAGGAUGGGAUGUGGUUAUUGCUGUGUUUUUAGACAGAAUCAACGGUUUCUGGGUCUGAGAUGUUGCAUACACCUUCUCAGUCCCUGUAUCCUGAGAUGGAGUCACCUGAGAAUCCACAGCAAGUCCUAACCAGGGAUGGGUCUGGGUGAUUAAGGAAGGUUGGCUUCAGAACUGGGCCAGGGGCACUGCUUUGCUUUUGCUGUUUUGAUCAGCUCUCUGCCUGAAGGAGACAAGAAAAACCAACGGGAACAGCUGGGGAAACUGAGUUACAGAGCUUGUCUGCACUGAGUCAUCAGGAGCAAAUGCUAGAUCAGGUAAUUGAACCCAAGCAAUCUGGUUCCAGAGCCA
rnacentral:lncRNA from 1 species